rnacentral:rRNA from 1 species
CCUACGGGUGGCAGCAGUGAGGAAUAUUGGUCAAUGGACGAGAGUCUGAACCAGCCAAGUAGCGUGAAGGAUGACUGCCCUAUGGGUUGUAAACUUCUUUUAUAAAGGAAUAAAACGAGGCACGUGUGCCUUUUUGCAUGUACUUUAUGAAUAAGGAUCGGCUAACUCCGUGCCAGCAGCCGCGGUAAUAUGGAGGAUCCGAGCGUUAUCCGGAUUUAUUGGGUUUAAAGGGAGCGUAGAUGGGUUGUUAAGUCAGUUGUGAAAGGUUGCGGCUCAACCGUAAGAUUGCAAUUGAUACUGGCAGUCUUGAGUACAGUGGAGGUAGGCGGAAUGCGUGGUGUAGCGGUGAAAUGCUUAGAUAUCACGAAGAACCCCGAUUGCGAAGGCAGCUUACUAAACUGUGACUGACAUUGAUGCUCGAAAGUGUGGGUAUCAAACAGGAUUAGAUACCCCAGUAGUC